AUUGAACGCUGGCGGCAGGCUUAACACAUGCAAGUCGAACGAGCGGCGGACGGGUGAGUAAUGUCUGGGAAUCUGCCUGAUGGAGGGGGAUAACUACUGGAAACGGUAGCUAAUACCGCAUACCAUCGGAUGUGCCCAGAUGGGAUUAGGUAGUUGGUGGGGUAAAGGCUCACCAAGGCGACGAUCCCUAGCUGGUCUGAGAGGAUGACCAGCCACACUGGAACUGAGACACGGUCCAGACGCCUACGGGAGGCAGAAGUGGGGAAUAUUGCGCAAUGGGCGCAACCCGGAUGCAGCCAUGCCGCGUGAAUGAAGAAGGCCUUCGGGUUGUAAAGCUCUUUCGGCAUCGAGGCGUUACUCACAGAAGAAGCACCGGCUAACUCCGUGCCAGCAGCCGCGGUAAUUC
rnacentral:rRNA from 1 species